rnacentral:rRNA from 1 species
AUGAACGCUGGCGGCGUGCCUAAUACAUGCAAGUCGAGCGAACGGACGAGAAGCUUGCUUCUCUGAUGUUAGCGGCGGACGGGUGAGUAACACGUGGAUAACCUACCUAUAAGACUGGGAUAACUUCGGGAAACCGUAGCUAAUACCGGAUAAUAUUUUGAACCGCAUGGUUCAAAAGUGAAAGACGGUCUUGCUGUCACUUAUAGAUGGUUCCGCGCUGCAUUAGCUAGUUGGUAAGGUAACGGCUUACCAAGGCAACGAUGCAUAGCCGACCUGAGAGGGUGAUCGGCCACACUGGAACUGAGACACGGUCCAGACUCCUACGGGAGGCAGCAGUAGGGAAUCUUCCGCAAUGGGCGAAAGCCUGACGGAGCAACGCCGCGUGAGUGAUGAAGGUCUUCGGAUCGUAAAACUCUGUUAUUGGGGAAGAACAUAUGUGUAAGUAACUGUGCACAUCUUGACGGUACCUAAUCAGAAAGCCACGGCUAACUACGUG